AUAUUUCAAAUACAUUAAUUUAUUAAGAUUGUAUGUAUUUUGGAUUUUGAGUGUUGCUGGUUGAAAGACGUAGCUCACUUGUAAGAUAUUAGCGUGUCUAUGAUUUCGGAUUGACUCGGUAUAAUAGACUAUUUGCCGAGGACACAAUUGUGGCCGAGAACAGAGAGAGGCUUCGAAAAGGAUUUAUAAAAGAAAAUUAUU
rnacentral:misc_RNA from 1 species